rnacentral:rRNA from 1 species
AGAGUUUGAUCCUGGCUCAGGAUGAACGCUAGCUACAGGCUUAACACAUGCAAGUCGAGGGGCAUCAGGAAGAAAGCUUGCUUUCUUUGCUGGCGACCGGCGCACGGGUGAGUAACACGUAUCCAACCUGCCCUUUACUCGGGGAUAGCCUUUCGAAAGAAAGAUUAAUACCCGAUAGCAUAAUGAUUCCGCAUGGUUUCAUUAUUAAAGGAUUCCGGUAAAGGAUGGGGAUGCGUUCCAUUAGGUUGUUGGUGAGGUAACGGCUCACCAAGCCUUCGAUGGAUAGGGGUUCUGAGAGGAAGGUCCCCCACAUUGGAACUGAGACACGGUCCAAACUCCUACGGGAGGCAGCAGUGAGGAAUAUUGGUCAAUGGGCGUUAGCCUGAACCAGCCAAGUAGCGUGAAGGAUGAAGGCUCUAUGGGUCGUAAACUUCUUUUAUAUAAGAAUAAAGUGCAGUAUGUAUACUGUUUUGUAUGUAUUAUAUGAAUAAGGAUCGGCUAACUCCGUGCCAGCAGCCGCGGUAAUACGGAGGAUCCGAGCGUUAUCCGGAUUUAUUGGGUUUAAAGGGAGCGUAGGUGGACUGGUAAGUCAGUUGUGAAAGUUUGCGGCUCAACCGUAAAAUUGCAGUUGAUACUGUCAGUCUUGAGUACAGUAGAGGUGGGCGGAAUUCGUGGUGUAGCGGUGAAAUGCUUAGAUAUCACGAAGAACUCCGAUUGCGAAGGCAGCUCACUGGACUGCAACUGACACUGAUGCUCGAAAGUGUGGGUAUCAAACAGGAUUAGAUACCCUGGUAGUCCACACAGUAAACGAUGAAUACUCGCUGUUUGCGAUAUACAGUAAGCGGCCAAGCGAAA